rnacentral:lncRNA from 1 species
UUGGUUUGUGGCGACAUUGGAGCCAAUUAGUAAAGUAUAGUCUCCUUGAAGAAACCCUAGUUGCCUGCUCACUCUCGCUCUCUGUCACUCAACUAAACCUCAAGAACCCAAAGCCCAAACAAUGCCGAAGAAAACAGGAAGAGGGGGCAGAAGAAAUCAACAGCGUAACAGCAACAAACCCUCUUCAUCUUCCAAAGAAGCAUUACCAGCAGAGUUUUUAGUAGAGAUUCUCAUCCGCACGCCAGUCA